AUGGUCCAUAAAGAGAACAAGUGCUGGUGUGUGUUCCGAUCCAGUAAAUUUUCUUCAUGUGCCACACAAGUGGAGACGACUCUACUUUUUUACCAUGAUCUUGAGAGUUAUGAACUUUAUGACAAUAAUGACUCUCAAGUUCAACAAGAGCUCGUACAAAAGAUAUGGAAAGUGUUUAAGACUAUACUAGAAGAGACUGGCAAAUUAAGGGAAGAAACCAAGGAAGGCAUUUCUAUAGCUAAGUCCAUUGCCAUGGAGCUUCUAUGGUUGGUUCAUAUGUGGUUAUCGAAGCAGGAUAAGUUCUUGAGGAGGACUCUAAUUGCUAUGGACCACAAGAUUUCAUAUGUCGCUCCCUAUUGCGUAUUGCUGUUGACAUUGGACUUGCUAUCCAGUAAGAGGGACAUUGGGAUCAUUGUUCAUCUAGAGAAGUCAGUGCUAUAUCUACGUCAGAAUAUUGGGAUGUUAAUGAUUGGAGAAUAUCCAGAGUGCGCCGCCUGUUACUUCGAAUCUCUAGGUUUCGCGGAUCAUCAGCAAGGAUGGCGGAUGCAAGGAAGAAGUUCACGCAACCGGAAGAAGAUACACCCUUUGGACGUCAUCUAA
rnacentral:rRNA from 1 species